CUUUUUGAUUUUAAUUUAAAGUCUAACCUGCCCAAUGAAGAUUUAAAUGGCCGCGGUAUUUUGACCGUGCAAAGGUAGCAUAAUCAGUAGUUUUUUAAUUGAAAGCUGGAAUGAAAGGUUUGAUGAGAAAAUUUCUGUCUCGGUUUAAGUUUUGUAUAAAUUUAUUUUUAAGUUAAAAAGCBUAAAUUUUAUUAAAAGACGAGAAGACCCUAUAGAGUUUUAUUUAUUUUCAAAAUAAAUUUUUUAGUAUUUAAAAUUUUAUUBAAGAGAUUAAUUUAAUUGGGGUGAUUGAAAAAUUAAAUAAACUUUUUUUAAAUUUUUUACAUUAAUAUAUGAUUAUUUGAGCCUUAAUUAAGAUUAAAGAUAAAAUUACCUUAGGGAUAACAGCGUUAUBUUUCUAAAGAGUUCUAAUCGAAAGAAAAGUUUGCGACCUCGAUGUUGGAUUAAAAUUAAAAUUUGGUGUAGAAGCUGAA
rnacentral:rRNA from 1 species